CUAACACAGGCCCUUAAGCAC
rnacentral:tRNA from 1 species